AUUGAACGCUGGCGGCAGGCCUAACACAUGCAAGUCGAACGGUAACAGGAAACAGCUCGCUGUUUCGCUGACGAGUGGCGGACGGGUGAGUAAUGUCUGGGAAACUGCCUGAUGGAGGGGGAUAACUACUGGAAACGGUAGCUAAUACCGCAUAACGUCGCAAGACCAAAGAGGGGGACCUUCGGGCCUCUUGCCAUCGGAUGUGCCCAGAUGGGAUUAGCUAGUAGGUGGGGUAACGGCUCACCUAGGCGACGGUCGCUAGCUGGUCUGAGGGGAUGAUCAGCCAGACUGGAGCUGAGAAGCGGGCCAGACUCCUACGGGAGGCAGGAGUGGGGAAUAUUGCACAAUGGGCGCAAGCCUGAUGCAGCCAUGUCGCGUGUAUGAAGAAGGCCUUCGGGUUGUAAAGUACUUUCAGCGGGGAGGAAGGGAGUAAAGUUAAUACCUUUGCUCAUUGACGUUACCCGCAGAAGAAGCACCGGCUAACUCCGUGCCAGCCGCCGCCGUAA
rnacentral:rRNA from 1 species